rnacentral:rRNA from 1 species
CUGGGAGGGGGCGGUGCGGCUGCUCGGGACCUCCUGGCGGCAGCAGAUGGAGUGGGAAACGCGGUGGCCUAACCUCGGCCCUCAGGGGUAGAGGCAGUGGGUGUAGCAGAAACAGAGCCCAGCAGAAGCUAGGCGAGGUGGGGCUCGGAGAGGCCGUAGGGGCUCGAGCGAAAACGUGCUGAUGUCCGGGGGUACCACCUAGGGAUCUCGGUCUACGGUGGCGGCUACCUACGAUGAUGUACCUCCGGUGGCUUCUGGUCCUCAUCAAUCUUCCAGGGUCCGUCCUCCGGAACGGAGAAGCUAGCACAACGAAAAUACGAUCGGAAGAAUUCCGUCAGAACAAAUUGAAUACAUACAUGAGUCUAUAACAACGAAGGCGACUGAGAACACAUAGCUCGAACAAAAGCUCGGGAGCUCCGGGGAUCGAACAUUAUACUUCGAACAUAAUAAAGAAAAACACAGAUCUCAACACAACACUAUAGAAGGGCACUCAGGGACUAGAACUAGCAUG